UAGUCCACGCCGUAAACGAUGGUUACUAGCUGUUCGGUACUUGUACUGAGUGGCUAAGCGAAAGUGAUAAGUAACCCACCUGGGGAGUACGUUCGCAAGAAUGAAACUCAAAGGAAUUGACGGGGGCCCGCACAAGCGGUGGAGCAUGUGGUUUAAUUCGAUGAUACGCGAGGAACCUUACCAGGGCUUAAAUGUAGUGGGACAGGUGUGGAAACACGCCCUUCUUCGGACUCAUUACAAGGUGCUGCAUGGUUGUCGUCAGCUCGUGCCGUGAGGUGUCAGGUUAAGUCCUAUAACGAGCGCAACCCCUGUUGUUAGUUGCCAGCACAUUAUGGUGGGAACUCUAACAAGACUGCCGGUGCAAACCGUGAGGAAGGUGGGGAUGACGUCAAAUCAUCACGGGCCCUUACGUCCUGGGGCUACACACGUGCUACAAUGGGCCGGUACAAAGGGGCUGGCAAACCAGCAAUGGGUAAGCGAAUCCCAAAAAACCAUCGUAGUCCGGGAUUGGGGGUCUGGCAACUCGACCCCAU
rnacentral:rRNA from 1 species